UAACAUCAGGGUACCUUGCUUUGAGUUC
rnacentral:piRNA from 1 species